rnacentral:lncRNA from 1 species
UGGGUUGCCAAAGUUCCCUUCCCGGAUAAAACACAGCCUCUCAGAAAACAAAGCAUUCAUUACACAUGAAUGAAGACUUUGAGAGCUUUUGAGAAGUAACUCCAGGUUUGUUAUGACUGCAGUUUUAUGUCAUUGUAUGUUUUUAAAAGGAUGGCCAAGGGUUUGUUAUAUUAAAAUCUAAUGGCAGCAGAGGAUGCUAUUACUUUUAGCAAUUUAGCAGCAUACUUAUCAACUAUACUUGUUAGCAAUUGUGGUUUCGACUUGGUAUUUCUUGCAUCAAAGUUUGAAUAUUUUUAGAAGGAUGAUGUAUACAUCAAGUAAUUUGUUCUAGAAAAUGUAUUGUGCAAUCUCUCUUUUUCUACUACUUUGCCACCAUUUCUUCUGUCCUGCAUGCAGUUCUUAUCUUUUUGUUGUAAUAACGAAGCUGAGCAUUCAAAAAGGCAAUCCUCUAUCAGGGUAAAUUUCAGCAAGUUUUCAAUUAUAGUUGCCUAUUUUGAGAGACAACCACCAAAUGCAUUAUUCAGAGCCUCCCAAACUUGAGAAGAAAAGAGAAGCUGUAAUUAUUUGUUCAUUAGAAGGGUUAAAUCUCUUCCAACCCUAAUAGUAAUGGCAAGAUUCACAAUUUGAAUUGUCCUUUUCCAUUCUCAAUAAAAAUCAUUUUUAUUUAUGAUACUAACACCGUUAUUAACGGUGUUACUAGUCUGUUAAACGGUGUUAC